GGCAGCGUGGUACAGUAGAAAGAGCAUUAGAUUGAGAGUUUAUAGGUCUGGGUUCAAAUCCUGACUUUGCCA
rnacentral:tRNA from 1 species